UACGGGGGGGGCAAGCGUUGUUCGGAAUUACUGGGCGUAAAGGGCGCGUGGGCGGUUGGAUAAGUCAGCUGUGAAAACCACGGGCUUAACUCGUGGCCUGCAGUUGAGACUGUCUGGCUUGAGUGUGGGAGGGGAGAGUGGAAUUCCUGGUGUAGCGGUGAAAUGCGUAGAUAUCAGGAGGAACACCGGUGGCGAAGGCGGCUCUCUGGACCACAACUGACGCUGAGGCGCGAAAGCUAGGGGAGCAAACAGG
rnacentral:rRNA from 1 species